rnacentral:lncRNA from 1 species
AAGUGAAACUGAUUGUGGUAGCUAUUUGUCAUAUCAUUUAAUUCAUCUUGGUUAUUCUUAAAAAAUUGAAUUCAUCUUAAUCUUUAUUUUUUCUAACAAAAAUCAUAGCAUACAACAAUAAAUAUAUUAAAUGGAUUGGGUUGGGUCAGUUAAACAGGUUAUUCAUCUAAUAAAUAGGUUAAACGAUAAAUAGGUUAAACGGAUUGGG